rnacentral:rRNA from 1 species
AGUGAACGCUGGCGGUAGGCCUAACACAUGCAAGUCGAACGGCAGCACAGUAAGAGCUUGCUCUUACGGGUGGCGAGUGGCGGACGGGUGAGGAAUACAUCGGAAUCUACUCUUUCGUGGGGGAUAACGUAGGGAAACUUACGCUAAUACCGCAUACGACCUACGGGUGAAAGCAGGGGAUCUUCGGACCUUGCGCGAUUGAAUGAGCCGAUGUCGGAUUAGCUAGUUGGCGGGGUAAAGGCCCACCAAGGCGACGAUCCGUAGCUGGUCUGAGAGGAUGAUCAGCCACACUGGAACUGAGACACGGUCCAGACUCCUACGGGAGGCAGCAGUGGGGAAUAUUCGACAAUGGGCGCAAGCCUGAUCCAGCCAUACCGCGUGGGUGAAGAAGGCCUUCGGGUUGUAAAGCCCUUUUGUUGGGAAAGAAAAGCAGCAGGUUAAUACCCCGCUGUUCUGACGGUACCCAAAGAAUAAGCACCGGCUAACUUCGUG